AAAAUUGACGAAGGAUUUGACUGUAGCUAUCUACAGUCAAACUUUUGCCCCUCGAUUUCACGUUAUUUACAAUAAUGGCAUCAUAUUUGGGCUGAAUAUUUACAUCUCUGACACUGACCACAAUUUGGGUUUUUUAGGGCGGUUGGUUUUGGGCCCGAAGUGGGCUUCGGUGGUGACCAUUGAAUGGAUUAAAGCCCUGAACGUCAAAUGCCUAUUUUACCCUAUCUACAUUCAAAAUCCGACGGACUGGAUUGGAAAUUUCAUGGGUAUUUUGGUCAUUCUUCGUUUGGAAGAGUGGUGGUAUGCCUGGGUUCGAUGGGAGUGAGGGAGUAGUUCAGGAUGUGCCAUUGUUGCAGAGGGUGAGGGAGGAAAUUGAGGGAAGUUAUCACGGCCCCGGCCUCUCUAGCUUCCCAGUUCCAUACAUAUUUAUUUUUUUUAUUUAUGCUGUUACGGUUAAAUUACGUUAAUAUUUUAUAUUAAUAUUAUUUUUUAUUUUAUUAUUUAUAUAAAAAAAUUAAUAUAAAAUGUUAAUGUGGUCGUGAUCCUACAAAAUAAAAGAGAAUGAUGAUGUAUAAAAACUGGAAGGGCAAAGAAGCCGGAUCCGGUUAUCACUGACCCGAUUGAGUGAGGGAUUUUGUGAGGAUUGCACUGACUUGAUUGACCGAGGAUGGUCUGACAUUUAGUAAGGCAAAAACAGAAUGAGAGAGGCGGGUUGCAGAGGCAGAGAGAAAGAGGGAGGGGUGGGGGCACUGAACAUGAGCAAGUAAGGCUCUUCUGAACAGGAGCAAGCAAGGUGUUUUGAUGCCUUAUUUUGGCGGUGAAAGGAAGGGUCACAUGUAGAGAGAGAGAGGUUUCCUUCCGCGCACAUUACCGUUUCGAUCGCUUCGACAGCAAGCCGCCACCACCGCCACCUAGAACAAAAAAUAAACAUCCGCCACUGCUCUUCAGCCAUCGUCUCCGGCGAUCCAUUCAAAUCUCCGAUCGAAACAGAUAUUUACUUCCGAUUCCAUUGAUUUCAGAUCGUUCAAACUGAAUUAUUGCUGAAAUUGUGUGAUGGGUUGAAUGCAGAGAGAAACUUAGGGAAAGAUGAGUGACGUAUUCGAAGGGUACGAGCGCCACUAAAGAGAGCUCUUCGCCAACCUCACAAAAAAGUGUGGUUCUGACAUGGAGGAGAAGCUGCAAGAGGUUAUGAUCUUGCUGCUCUUAAGUACGGCUGUUCUUCAACUCAUAUAAACUUUCCGGAUAAAAAAGCAUGUGAUAAAGUGAAGACGGGGAUAGAGAAAAGGCUUUUGGGAAAGUGCAAAAUGGGAUGAAGAUGGUUUGGGGGGAGUGAGGGGAAGGAGGAAAUUACUCAAAAGAAAGGGAAAAAACAGGGGAACAAGCUUAUUCAACUAGCUAUCCAGCCAGUUCAUAUAGUGUCUUGCAAGUUGACAUUUUUAUGUAGUAAGUUCAAAACCAAACUUAUGUGUGAAAUUAAGUUCAUUUACUAUUAGAUCACAGCCAUACUAUUGUCUAAUGGUCACAAUUUCAUACUACCUCUUUAUUUCAACCAACCACUACAAAAAAUAAUGACUUUGCUAAGAAGACUAAACUUUGUAUUUGAAAGGAACCACUAAUUUAAAAAGAAGACACUAAAACACUGAUUGAAAACCAUAACCAUAAAUAUAUUGGCUCUUGGUGUUAACCUAAUAGAAUGUAAACUCAAAUUGAACUGCUUAUUUUGCCGUAUCGAUUCACCUAUAUCUUGAUUUUUCAAUUAUUUGGAGAUGACUGUUAAUUUGUGAUUUUGUGGGACUUACUCAAGUAAAAUGUGCGUUGUCUAACUUGCUGCAUUUGAGAAUGCAAUUGUGUUGCUGCUGCCUUUUGAGUGAAUUUUUCUAUGAAUAUUAGUUAUGGCUGUUGUCGAUUAUAGUUUGAAACCCCGCAGCAGAGCACAAGCAAUUUUUCUAGUAUUAAGCUAUAACAGAUACCAGAAAAUCGAAAAGCUCUAUAGACAGUAAUUUCGUUUGUUCGUGAUGGUAGUUUAAAGUAGGGAAAAUUAAAAUCCCCUACAGUUUUUCUAUAUCAUUUAGAUUAAACAUUUGUGUCUUUUUAAAAUUUGAU